UUCACAAGUGAGGAGGUAGAAGUGGCCCACCUGAGAGGUUCUGAGCCUCAUCAUCCCUCUUGUGAGGCAGGCCAAGGUCCACCAGCAUGUCCUCCACCUCCCUCUCUGCCUCCGCCUGAGUCCGACCCUUCAGCAUGCAGCUGACUCCAGUCCUGUCAGCAGCAUCUGUCCAGUAACUCACUGUUUGAAGAGGAUGUUGUACUGAGGGCACAUCCCCAUGGAUGAGCGGAUGAUGUCCAUGUCGGUCCGAAUGUCUCUACCAUUAAUGUAGGCGGUGCCAGAUGUAGGAGGGAACAGGCCGGUCAGGAUGGACCUGAACCAGAACACACAAUACCGAUUACAGUACAUGAGGGUUGUCAACUUUAUGCUGGGAUCUCACGAGGGAUCAAUAAGAAAGCCCCGUUGUGCCCCAAGAAGGAUGUGAUCUGGCCCUCAUAGAAAUUGAUGUUGAGACAGUUGACAGCUGGACGUGAGCUCCCAUCAAACACCUUCACCAGGUCCUGAAUCUGCACCCCCAUCACCAGGCCCGAUGGUUCUGCCUCAAAGAACACCUGACCUGCACGGGGAAACAGACCAAAACAGUUAACACUUAAAUAAUUAAUUAUAUAAAUUUAGGUCACAAUUUCUCAAUGUCCAGCUUUCCAGUAACUCAGAAACUCCUUUUUUCUUGUACAACACGUAUAGGUCACAAUAGAAAUUUUUCACGUGUAACAUUAAAUGUACAGCCUCCUUAAUAA